rnacentral:rRNA from 1 species
UACGUAGGGUCCGAGCGUUGUCCGGAAUUACUGGGCGUAAAGAGCUCGUAGGUGGUUUGUCGCGUUGUUCGUGAAAACUCACAGCUCAACUGUGGGCGUGCGGGCGAUACGGGCAGACUUGAGUACUGCAGGGGAGACUGGAAUUCCUGGUGUAGCGGUGGAAUGCGCAGAUAUCAGGAGGAACACCGGUGGCGAAGGCGGUUCUCUGGGCAUUACCUGACGCUGAGGAGCGAAAGUGUCGGGGAGCGAACAGG